rnacentral:rRNA from 1 species
GAUGAACGCUGGCGGCGUGCCUAAUACAUGCAAGUCGAGCGAAUGGAUUAAGAGCUUGCUCUUAUGAAGUUAGCGGCGGACGGGUGAGUAACACGUGGGUAACCUGCCCAUAAGACUGGGAUAACUCCGGGAAACCGGGGCUAAUACCGGAUAACAUUAUGAACCGCAUGGUUCGAAAUUGAAAGGCGGCUUCGGCUGUCACUUAUGGAUGGACCCGCGUCGCAUUAGCUAGUUGGUGAGGUAACGGCUCACCAAGGCAACGAUGCGUAGCCGACCUGAGAGGGCGAUCGGCCACACUGGGACUGAGACACGGCCCAGACUCCUACGGGAGGCAGCAGUAGGGAAUCUUCCGCAAUGGACGAAAGUCUGACGGAGCAACGCCGCGUGAGUGAUGAAGGCUUUCGGGUCGUAAAACUCUGUUGUUAGGGAAGAACAAGUGCUAGUUGAAUAAGCUGGCACCUUGACGGUACCUAACCAGAAAGCCACGGCUAACUACGUGCCAGCCGCCGCGGUAA